CCCGCACAAGCGGUGGAGCAUGUGGUUUAAUUCGAUGAUACGCGAGGAACCUUACCUGGGCUCAAAUGUAUGUUGACGUAUUCUGAAAGGGAUACUUCUUCGGACAAUAUACAAGGUGCUGCAUGGUUGUCGUCAGCUCGUGCCGUGAGGUGUCGGGUUAAGUCCCAUAACGAGCGCAACCCCUAUCAUUAGUUGCCAUCAGGUCAAGCUGGGGACUCUAAUGAAACUGCCUACGCAAGUAGUGAGGAAGGUGGGGAUGACGUCAAAUCAGCACGGCCCUUACGUCCAGGGCUACACACGUGCUACAAUGGCCGGUACAAAGGGCAGCUACCUGGUGACAGGAUGCUAAUCUCAAAAGCCGGUCUCAGUUCGGAUCGGAGUCUGCAACCCGACUUCAUGAAGCUGGAAUCGCUAGUAAUCGUGGAUCAGCCAAGCCGCGGUGAAUACGUUCCCGGGCCUU
rnacentral:rRNA from 1 species